AGAAAAAAAUAAGAGUAGGUUGAUAAAUUAUUUUUCCUUCUUAACAAAAAUAAGGAGUAAAUUGAAACUUUUAAAAGUGAAAUGGAUGAUUUAAAAAUAAUUAAUUUACGAGAGAAAUAAUCUAAAAAUAAUCCUAUUUAUUAUGUACUGUCUAGCCACUUAAUAGUCAAGUUAAGAAUUAAGGGAUUGUAAUAAUUGAUGGAGACAAUACUUAAGUUACAUCUGAUGUAACUUCUAACUAGUUAACUUUAUGUGUUGGGAUAAAAUUUAAUAAUUAAAAAAUAAUUUACGAAAAAUAAGUGUGGGUCACAAGUAAAUUAGCUUGGUUUGAUGGACUAUAAGAUAGCAAGACCCGUUCAUGGAAGGGACAUUGGUUAUCAUAUAGCUGUGACACGCAAAAGAAGAAGAUGAAAAUAUGAGUAGACGAUUCAUUAAAAGUGAAAGAGAAGUGUACUUUUGGGCUUUGCAUGCGAGUAUUCGUGUGUUGGACAAAGACAAAGCUCAUUUAUAUUUACUCUUGGAAGCAUGUAAGCGGCAUGCUUCCCAACUUUUACGCUUAAACCAUAAUAAUCUUUUAGAAAUAUUAACUUAAACACUAAGGUGGCGUUUGUUUUUUUAUCUAAAAUCUGAAUAGACCUUAAUUAGUCUAAAUUCUGAAUAGAUCUGAAUGUCUGAAUCUGAAUAAUAUGUUUAUUUUUUCGUCUGAAUCUCGAAAAAUAAGUAUUAAGUUGUUUGUUUUUUUCAACUGAAAAAGCUGAAAAUAUGUACUUUUACAUUUGUAUCCUUAUUAAAUUUGAAUGUCAAAUAAAUAAUAUAUUAAAUACCAUAAUAUUUUAACAUUUAUAAGUAAAACUAUAUUCAAGUGAAUACAUAAUUAUUUUAGAAUUUUAAUAUAUAAAAUACCAUAAAUUUUAAAAUUUUAUCGUAUAUAAUAUAAGAAAGAAAAAAUAAGGAUAUUUUUAUGUAGGGUAAAUGUCUAUGGGUGAAUUUUGGGAUAGACAUGAAAAAUAAAUUAUAAAACAUGGAUAUUUUUUACAUUAGUAAGUAAUUGACUUAAUUCAAAUUUCUCCAUUAAGUAAAAAGUUAAAAAAAUUAGCUUAUUUUAUUAAGUCAAGAGUAUUUAAAAAGUUUCAUUAAGUUAUAAAAAUAAACACCUCUAAUUAAUUUAAUUAAUUAUGUUAAGCCACUUUAAGUCAUUAAGUUAAAAAACAAACGCCACCUAAGUCAUUCUUUAUUUUUAAAUUCUUUCGGAGUUACCAUGAUUAAGUAGGACACCACAACCACUAGUUUCCGAUUUCAACAGACAUAUGAGUAUUUUGGCAACUCCAUGUGUCAACUUUUUCCUUUUUUUUUAAGUAGGAAAAUUAUCAAUUGUUUAUCUAAAGUCUAGCGAAAGUUAAGAAUUACUUAAAAUCCUAAAAAAUAUCAGUGUGAGGUUUAAAAUUUGCAACAUAAUCAAUUGGUCUAAAAUAAAGAAUGAGGAAUGAUUGGUGUAAAAAGAAUGAUAACAUUAUUCAUGUAAGUUUCUCUAUGGUUCGUGAGGAUAAGAUUUUUUGGUAUAGAAAGAAUAUAAAAUGAGGUUACGAGGCCAAUCUAUGGUAUAUUGCACUCAAAGAAGCCUAAAAAGUUAAACUAAGCUUCAUGAGCUUACUUGACAUCUAGAUAUCCUUUGGAGUAUUUUGAGAUUAUAAAAAACACACAUUGGAUCGGGUAAAAUAUGGUUUAAUUUCUAUAUUUUGAGAUUAAUACCUAUUUAGUCUUUAUAUUUUUAAAAAUACCUCAAAAUAUCUUUAUCGUUAAGUGUUGACAUCCUUAUUGGUACUUUUUUUUACUUACUUUUACAAUAUUACCCUUGUACAAUAAUAUUUCUUCUUUAUUGGAAAUUAAUAAAAAAAUUAAAUUAUCAAUUUAAC
rnacentral:lncRNA from 1 species